UACGUAGGGUGCAAGCGUUUGUCCGGAAUCAUUGGGCGUAAAGCGCGCGUAGGUGGCUUCGUAAGUCCGUUGUGAAAGUCAAAGGCUCAACCUUUGAAUGCCGAUGGAUACUGCGAAGCUAGAGUACGGAAGAGGCGAGUGGAAUUCCUGGUGUAGCGGUGGAAUGCGCAGAUAUCAGGAGGAACACCAAUAGCGAAGGCAGCUCGCUGGGACGUUACUGACACUAAGGCGCGAAAGCGUGGGG
rnacentral:rRNA from 1 species